UGUCAAUAGCAUCAUUCAUCAUUAGACAAGUUCAUACAACAAGAAUACAAGACUUCAUGUCGAAGAUGAGGAUACAGACUGGGCCUGGACUAGCACUAGCACUGUGCUGCUUACUCCUCUGCACUCUCGCAUCUGCACAGACCAGUGUCGAAGUGUUACCGCUUGUGAUGAUCGAGGGAAAAUUCCAAGGUCAAGACUUCACUCGCCUUUGUCGAGUUUCUGGCACGACCGAUGAUGUGGUAUUUGAGUGGUUGAGAGAUGGACUUGUAAUUCGCUCUGGCAGAGGAGCUAACCUCGAGUUGACCAUCUCUGAAGUGGACUUUAUUGACCAGGGCAGCUACUCUUGCAGAGCUACACUCGAUGACAGCAGUGUGAUUGGACCCGCCAGUGCGGGGGAGCUCAUUGUGUUGGAUCGGGGCAUGAUCCACGCACCCUCAGUGCAGUACGUGGAACACGGAGUGGAGUAUUCACAACUCAACUGCUCCUAUCCUGGGGCUCUCCCCAUCUGGACCUAUGACGGCCAAACAGUGUCCGGUGAACUCUUUGCUCCUUCGUUUGGGGACGAGGGUGUGUACAUCUGUGACCUGUUCUAUUCAGAUCCAGCAAGACAGAUACAAGCCAGCAUCAGACAAGAAAUCAGGCUCCACGUCUUUGUACCAGUUGAUAUUCUGCACCACCCGCCUGCGUACAUUCCCGUCACCGGCAACCCUCCCCUCAAACUGACGGUGGCCUUCUCCGGUCGUCAAGCACAGAACAUGUCCAUCACCUGGUACAGAAACGGAAUACCAUUGGCUAACAGUAUCAUCAAUACAACGUACAGUGUAUCCCAGCUGUCCGGUACCACGGAACUCAAGUUCACCAAGGUGACUAGGAGUCAGGCUGGAGUGUACAGAGUGGUCAUUCAGAGUGAAGUAGGUCGCGGUGUAUACAGCCUCAGUGAUACUGACGAGGAGACCAGCUCCCAAGUGGAUGUGACUGUGCCUCCAGCUACUCCAAUUGAUUUCUCAUCUCAAGACGAAUUCUCUACCACUGCCGUGUUCAAGUGGACACUGACCAAUCAGAAUACAGACGAGGGAGCUGAUACAUUCAUCAUCCAGCUCAUGUACGACAAUGGCUCAUUCUUCAGAAACGAGACGUUCCCCGGUGGAGUCAGUGAGAGAAGGGUGUCUGACUUGAUCCCAGGAACAGGAUACUCUGCUCGACUUUUUGCUAUGAAUGAAGAUGGAGUGGCUACUGUCAGCCCAAUCUCCUUCUCUACAACACCUGGAAAUCCCAAGCUAAAUGAAGCAGUUGUCAUUCGGCGCAACACUACACACUUCACUGCACAGCUCAGCCUCGCAUACACUGGAGGUGGCUCUAUUACCAAGAUAAUUAUUGAAGUUUUCAAUUUCGAGAAUGAAAACACGGCUCAGUUUGAAGUCUUGGCAACUCAAAGUCCUAAUUCUAACCUUGUAUGGAACGGAGACUUUACUAUCACUGACUCGAGUUUGGUUCCAGAAACUAGACUAUCUUUUAUUGUUUCCGCUAGGAAUGAACACGGAUUUGUAUCUGAUGGACCUAGUGUAGUCGUUCCAGCACACGCUACAAUUAGCACGGCUACAACUGAACUUCCAGCCCCCCCGGGAGAACUAGACUCAACGUGGCUGAUCCUAGUGGCGGUGGUAGUGGCAACCGUUAUAAUCACUAUCGUCGUUGUAACUCUUUGUGUGAUCACCAUCUGCCACUGCAAGAAACACGCCAAAAAACAUCUCAUCACUCCCCCCAAAGAUCAUGCCACGGUGGAGAAGCAGUUAUCAGUGGACAACCCACUAGUAACAAGAGGAGACACACUUGAAAAGCACUACCCCAACCCGACUAUACAAUUGGGGUCCGUACCCAGCGUUCAUUCAAACUAUUCCGGUGACAAUCGAUACGUAGAGGACCCUAAACUAGAACUUCGUCGAGUCCCGAGUGAUGUAAGCUCUAAGGCCUCGAGUUACCAUACCGUCUCUACCACCAGUAACAGUCCAAACACACUCAAGAUGAUUAAGCACAAGAACGAGAAAAACGUGUACCCGGAAGGGAGCACUAACAGUUUACGAAGUGAUUAUGACAGAAAUCAAUUAAGUCAAACCGAAAGUGAAACGAUGCCGUUGAAACCCGGACAAAGCUACAGUCAGGUGCACCUCGCUGGUUCAACUUGUAGCAGUGUGCACAGCAGUCAACAAAGUAUACCUAUUCUUCCCCGUCCCUACCAAGGUUCAACUUGCAGCAGUGUACACAGCAGUCAACAAAGUAUACCUAUUCUUCCCCGUCCCUACCAACCAAUGCACGAGCACCACCACCACCAUCACCACCACCAUCGACGAAACUACUCUGUUACAUCUUCUAUUAGCGGCAUUAAAGAAGAAGACAGCGGCUCGGAAAGAUUUGAACUUCCGAUCUCACAGCUCAGUCAGCAUCAACAUCGUCCCAACCAAUAUCAACAACACGCUACUCUGUCAAUAUCCGGUAGUGAAAUGGACGCUAGACCACCGUCAGAGGUGGGUAUAUUUUCGCUCUCCGUUGGGCUCGGUGAUCAGCCCACGGUUUGUCGAGUCAUUCAAGCAUGAUCAUCAUCAGGGGCGGCACUCACUCACUCACUCACUCAAUCACUUAUAGGGUUUAAUUGUCUGUUUGCACCUGUUCACUCACGACUGGCGGUGAGAGGUCACCUGACUACGUGUACAUGAGCUCAGUAUCUGAGUCACAGCAAGUAUCAGUCGUAUAGCAUAAUUAACUAGACACAUUCAUCAGCAAAAUAAUAACUUCUAUGGGCAAUUUUCAAUAAUCUUUUAUAAAUUAAUAUUGAUAUUAAUUUUUGAUUCUCUUUCAUUUUAUGCUGUUUUCAUCGUUCAAUAUCACUUAGAGAAACAAUGUAUCUAUUAAAACGCAUAAAUAUUGUGUUGUGACAGUUGUUUUUA